UGGGGAAUAUUGGACAAUGGGCGAAAGCCUGAUCCAGCCAUGCCGCGUGUGUGAAGAAGGUCUUCGGAUUGUAAAGCACUUUAAGUUGGGAGGAAGGGCAGUAAGCGAAUACCUUGCUGUUUUGACGUUACCGACAGAAUAAGCACCGGCUAACUCUGUGCCAGCAGCCGCGGUAAUACAGAGGGUGCAAGCGUUAAUCGGAAUUACUGGGCGUAAAGCGCGCGUAGGUGGUUCGUUAAGUUGAAUGUGAAAGCCCCGGGCUCAACCUGGGAACUGCAUCCAAAACUGGCGAGCUAGAGUAGGGCAGAGGGUGGUGGAAUUUCCUGUGUAGCGGUGAAAUGCGUAGAUAUAGGAAGGAACACCAGUGGCGGAGGCGACCACCUGGGCUCAUACUGACACUGAGGUGCGAAAGCGUGGGGAGCAAACAGG
rnacentral:rRNA from 1 species